rnacentral:rRNA from 1 species
CAUAGCGAAAGCUUACCAUGCAAGUCGAACGGUCUCUUCGGAGAUAGUGGCGGACGGGUGAGUAACGCGUGAGAAUCUAGCUUCAGGUCGGGGACAACCACUGGAAACGGUGGCUAAUACCGGAUGUGCCGAAAGGUGAAAGAUUUAUUGCCUGAAGAUGAGCUCGCGUCUGAUUAGCUAGUUGGUGUGGUAAGAGCGCACCAAGGCGACGAUCAGUAGCUGGUCUGAGAGGAUGAUCAGCCACACUGGGACUGAGACACGGCCCAGACUCCUACGGGAGGCAGCAGUGGGGAAUUUUCCGCAAUGGGCGAAAGCCUGACGGAGCAAUACCGCGUGAGGGAGGAAGGCUCUUGGGUUGUAAACCUCUUUUCUCAGGGAAUAAAAAAAUGAAGGUACCUGAGGAAUAAGCAUCGGCUAACUCCGUGCCAGCAGCCGCGGUAAUACGGAGGAUGCAAGCGUUAUCCGGAAUGAUUGGGCGUAAAGCGUCCGCAGGUGGCACUGUAAGUCUGCUGUUAAAGAGCAAGGCUCAACCUUGUAAAGGCAGUGGAAACUACAGAGCUAGAGUACGUUCGGGGCAGAGGGAAUUCCUGGUGUAGCGGUGAAAUGCGUAGAAAUAA